UACGGAGGGUGCAAGCGUUAUCCGGAUUCACUGGGUUUAAAGGGUGCGUAGGAGGGCAGGUAAGUCAGUGGUGAAAUCUCCAAGCUUAACUUGGAAACUGCCGUUGAUACUAUCUGUCUUGAAUACCGUGGAGAUGAGCGGAAUAUGUCAUGUAGCGGUGAAAUGCGUAGAUAUCGUAAGGAAGACCAGUGGCGAAGGCGGGUCUCUGGACAGUUCCUGACGCUGAGGCACGAAGGCCAGGGGAGCAAACGGG
rnacentral:rRNA from 1 species